AUUGAACGCUGGCGGCAGGCCUAACACAUGCAAGUCGAACGAGUGGCGGACGGGUGAGUAAUGUCUGGGAAUCUGCCUGAUGGAGGGGGAUAACUACUGGAAACGGUAGCGAAUACCGCAUACCCUCAGAUGUGCCCAGAUGGGAUUGGCUAGUUGGUGGGGGAACGGCUCACCAAGGCGACGAUCCCUAGCUGGUCUGAGAGGAGGACCAGCCACACUGGAACUGAGACACGGUCCAGACUCCUCCGGGAGGCAGCAGUGGGGAAGAGUGCACAAUGGGCUCAAGCCUGAUGCAGCCAUGCCGCGUGUAUGAAGAAGGCCUUCGGGUUGUAAAGUACUUUCAGCGGGGAGGCGUGACCCGCAGAAGAAGCACCGGCUAACUCCGUGCCAGCAGCCGCGGUAAUAC
rnacentral:rRNA from 1 species